CCUACGGGCGGCAGCAGUGGGGAAUAUUGGACAAUGGGCGCAAGCCUGAUCCAGCAAUGCCGCGUGUGUGAAGAAGGCCUGCGGGUUGUAAAGCACUUUAAGCAGGAAAGAAGGGGUGAAAGUUAAUACCUUUCAUCAUUGACGUUACCUGCAGAAUAAGCACCGGCUAACUCCGUGCCAGCAGCCGCGGUAAUACGGAAGGUGUGAGCGUUAAUCGGACGUAGGCGGCGUAAAGAGCGCGUAGUCGGUGCCCUGGGCUUAACCUGGGAACUGCGGUGGAUACUGUCGGGCUAGAGUGUGGUAGAGGGGAGUGGAAUUUCCGGUGUAGCAGUGAAAUGCGUAGAGAUCGGAAGGAACACCAGUGGCGAAGGCGGCUCCCUGGACUAACACUGACGCUGAGGUGCGAAAGCGUGGGGAGCAAACAGGAUUAGAUACCCCUGUAGUC
rnacentral:rRNA from 1 species